GUAGUACUCCCUCCGUUCGGAAUUACUCGUCCAAGAAAUGAAUGUAUCUAGAUGUAUUUUAGUUGUAGAUACAUCCAUUUUUAUUUAUUUUUGUGACAAGUAAUUCCGAACGGAGAGAGUAGGUU
rfam:Triticum aestivum genome assembly, contig: Triticum_aestivum_CS42_TGACv1_scaffold_406175_5BL